GGGGCCAUAGCUCAGUUGGGAGAGCGCUUGCAUGGCAUGCAAGAGGUCGCAAGUUCGAAUCUUGUUGGCUCCA
rnacentral:tRNA from 4 species